GGCCGGAGGUCUAGCCCCGUGCGGCGAAGCCUCGCGAACCCCGCCAGGUCCGGAAGGAAGCAACGGUAAGCGAUAAGCUUCGGGUGCCACGGCAAGCUGGGCCUCCCGCCCGGG
rnacentral:SRP_RNA from 1 species